rnacentral:rRNA from 1 species
GACGAACGCUGGCGGCGUGCUUAACACAUGCAAGUCGAACGAAAAGGCCCUGCUUUUGUGGGUUGCUCGAGUGGCGAACGGGUGUGUAACACGUGAGUAACAUGCACUUGACUUUGGGAUAACUUCAGGGAACUGGGGCGAAUACCGGAUAGGAGCUCCUGCUGCAUGGGGGGGGUUGGAAAGUUACGGCGGUGUGGGAUGGAUUCGCGGCUUAUCAGCUUGUUGGUGGGGUAGUGGCUUACAAAGGUUUUGACGGGUAGCCCGCAUGGGAGGGUGGCCAGCGACAAUGGGCCUGAGAUACGGCGCAGAAUCCUACGGGAGGCAGCGGGGGGGAACAUUGCGGAAUGGGCGGACGCCUGAGGUAGCAAUGCUGGGUGCGGGAUGACCGGCUACGGGUGAUAAACAGCUGUCUACGGUACUGAACCGUGCGUGACGGUAACGGGUAAGAAAGCACCGGCUAACUACGUG